GUUGCUGAUAACUGAUGGAAGGCGACGAGUGGGUGAUAAAUUCCCUGUUCCCAGGCAGGUUGUCUUUCCUCCUGUAAUUAAUUCAGCCCCAACCCAAACUGCUGAGGCUCUCAAGGAGUUAAGAUACAACAAUGGUGGCACUUACACUGUUCCAGUGGAUUCUAAAAGGGCUUAUCUUGACUUUUCUGCUGGAAACUACUCUGUCCCUAAAUCCAGAUGAUCCAAAUGUUUGUAGUCAUUGGGAAAGCUAUGCUGUGACAGUGCAGGAAUCUUAUGCUCACCCCUUUGAUCAGAUCUAUUACACACGAUGCACAGACAUCCUCAACUGGUUCAAGUGCACCAGACACAGGAUCAGUUACAAAACCGCCUAUCGGAGGGGGCUGAGGACGAUGUACCGGCGGAGAUCCCAGUGCUGCCCGGGCUACUACGAGAGCGGAGACUACUGCAUCCCUCUGUGCACCGAGGAGUGUGUGCAUGGGAGGUGUGUCUCUCCUGACACGUGUCACUGUGAACCAGGAUGGGGAGGCACUGAUUGCUCCAGUGGCUGUGACAGCGAGCACUGGGGGCCCCACUGCAGCAACCGCUGCCAGUGCCAGAACGACGCGCUCUGCAACCCCAUCACGGGCGCCUGCGUCUGCGCCGACGGGUUCCGCGGCUGGCGCUGCGAGGAGCUCUGCGAGCCCGGCACCUACGGCAAGGCCUGCCAGCUCCAGUGCCAGUGCCACCACGGGGCCACCUGCGACCACCAGACCGGAGAGUGCCACUGCGCGCCCGGAUACACCGGAGUCUUCUGUGAGGAGCUGUGUCCCCCCGGCAGCCACGGAGCCCAGUGUGAGCUGCGCUGCCCCUGCCAGAACGGGGGCGUCUGUCACCACAUCACCGGGGAGUGCUCCUGUCCCGCGGGAUGGACGGGGCUGGUGUGUGCACAGCCAUGUCCUCCUGGAACCUUUGGAAUCAACUGCAGCCAGGACUGUCCGUGCCACAACGGAGGACACUGUGACCCCGUGACAGGAAAAUGCAUCUGCACAGCUGGCUAUAUAGGAGACAGGUGCCAGGAGGAGUGUCCCAUCGGGACAUACGGCUUCCAGUGCUCACAAACCUGCGACUGCCAGAACGGGGCCAAGUGCUACCACGUCAACGGAGCCUGCAUCUGUGACCCCGGCUUUAAAGGGAUCUACUGCCAAGAAAGGAUGUGUCCAGAAGGGUUUUAUGGCCUCAAAUGCAACAAGAGAUGUCCUUGCAAUAUUACCAACACCCUCAGCUGCCACCCCCUGUCUGGAGAGUGCAGCUGCAAGGCUGGCUGGGCUGGGCUCUACUGCAACGAGACGUGUCCCCCGGGCUCGUACGGCGAGGGCUGUGCCCUGGCCUGCCCCUGCCACAACGGGGCCGACUGUGACGGCGUCACCGGGGCCUGCUCCUGUGCCCCCGGCUACAUGGGAGAGGACUGCACCAUUACCUGCAUGGCAGGAACCUACGGAACCAAUUGCUCCUCAGUUUGUAACUGCAAGAACGACGGUGCCUGUUCCCCUGUGGACGGGCUGUGCUACUGCAAAGAAGGGUGGCAAGGAGUGGAUUGCUCUAUUCCAUGUUCAAGUGGAAGUUGGGGUCUGAACUGUAACCAGACGUGUUCCUGCACCAACGGAGCUGCCUGCAGGCCAGCAGACGGCUUCUGCCUCUGCUCCCCGGGGUGGCAGGGGGAGUUCUGUGAGCAGCCCUGCCCUGAUGGAACAUAUGGUCUUAAUUGCAGCGAGCGUUGUGACUGUAACCACGCCGAUGGGUGUGACCCUGUCACUGGGUACUGCUGCUGCCUCGCAGGCUGGACAGGCAUCCACUGUGACAACAUCUGCACCCAGGGCCGCUGGGGCCCCAACUGCUCCAUCUCGUGCAGCUGUGAGAACGGGGGAUCCUGCUCCCCAGAGGAUGGCACCUGCGACUGCGCCCCGGGAUACAGGGGACCCCUGUGCCAGAGAAUUUGCCCCCCUGGUUUUUAUGGACACCACUGUGGCCAGCCCUGCCCCCAGUGUGUGCACAGCAAUGGUCCUUGUCACCACGUGUCGGGACACUGCGACUGCCUGCCUGGAUUCUUUGGCCCUCUCUGCAACCAAGUGUGUCCCAGUGGGAAAUACGGGAAGGACUGUGCCGAGGUGUGUCAGUGCACCGAGAACGGGACGUGCAAUCCCAUCGACGGAUCCUGCCAGUGCUUCCCAGGCUGGAUAGGCAUGGACUGCUCUCAGACCUGUCCCAGUGGGUUUUGGGGCCCUGACUGUUUUCAUUCCUGCAACUGCCACAACGGAGCACUGUGCAGCCCCUACGAUGGAGAGUGUCGAUGUACCCACGGCUGGACGGGGCUCUUCUGCACUCAGCGUUGCCCAGCUGCUUUUUAUGGAAAGAACUGUGCCAACGUGUGCCAGUGUCAGAACGGAGCUGACUGUGACCACAUCACCGGGCAGUGCACGUGCAGGACUGGAUUUACAGGCAAACAGUGCGAGCAGAAGUGCUCACCAGGAACGUUUGGUUAUGGUUGCAAACAACUUUGUGAGUGCAUGAAUAAUGCUACAUGUGACCAUGUCACAGGGACCUGCUACUGCAGCCCAGGCUUCAAAGGAAUCCGGUGUGAUCAAGCGGCUCUUAUGAUGGAAGAAUUAAACCCCUAUACUAAAAUUAGCCCUGCUCUUGGAUCAGAGAGGCACUCAGUGGGAGCAAUCAUUGGAAUUAUUAUUCUCCUUCUAAUUAUUAUGGUCUUGCUGGCACUGUUUGUGUGGUAUCGACGGAAACAGAAGGAGAAGGGCCAUGACAUGCCAAGUGUAUCUUACACUCCAGCCAUGAGGAUGACUAAUACAGAUUACUCACUUUCUGAUGUAUCUCAAGGUAGCGGCAGUGUACACUGCUUUUCCAAUCCCAGCUACCACACUCUCUCAUGUGGUGUGACCUCACGCUUCUUUCCCAGUAAUCUGGAUGGAAACAGCUCCAGUAAGCUCAGUAACAAAAUCCUUGACAGAGAAACUGCAGACUGGAGACCCUACAGCUAUCUGAAUGAACUAGGUGCUUGUGGGAUGGAUAGACGUCAGAACACAUACAUAAUGGAAAAAAGCUUCAAAGACAGCGGGGGCAGCUGGGAUUGCAGCUAUUUUGCAAGUCCCACUAUUUCACCGGGAGUAUUUCAUAUAUACCAGGAUCUGCCUUUGUACUGUAACCCAGCACAAGAAAAUGCCUCAUCUUUCAUUGCAUCGCUCUAAUUCUAAAUUACUGGCACUGCCCAGCAGGAUGCACACGGCAGCAAUGAUUAUAUGAAAGAGUCUGUGUGCAGCUCCAGCACUUGUUCCCUGAACAGCAGUGAAAACCCCUACGCCACCAUCAAAGACCCCCCCAUUUUAACCUGCAAACACUCCGAGAGCAGCUACGUGGAAAUGAAAUCGCCUGGUCACAGGGAGUCCCCGUACUCCGAAAUGCCAACUUCAUCCACAGCCAAUAAAAACAUCUACGAAGUUGAGCCCACUGUCAGCAUAGUCCAAGACGGCCGCAGCCGGAGUGCCAGUUACCUCCAGAAUCCAUACGACCUUCCCAGGAACAGCCACAUUCCUGGUCACUACGACCUCCUCCCCGUCCGGCACAGCCCGACACACGGGCCCUCUUGGGACAAGCAGUCUUAAAGGGAUGGACUCCACUGUGCUGCCAACACAAACUGUGAGGAAGCAGAGGAGAAGCCGUUCCUUUUCCACGCUGUGGGAUGCUGACGGAUGUGGACUGGCUUACGCAAGGACCUGACGUGACACAACAUCAGCUUGGGCCAACUGCUGCUGCAUGAUGUUAUUUAUAAAGACAUUUUUAUAUGGGUAACUGGAACUAACAGAACCUCCUCCACGUGUGGCUGGAGUACAUCACCCCAGGAAGGUGUCCACGCGCUCCAGGCAAAAACUCUCCGUGGCUUGUAUUCUAACCCUGGCUUUGCUGUAAAAUAAACCACAAACACAUGCUAAGUAGAAGGACUUAAAGAUGUACAUUUUUACCAACUGCAUCAAGAAACCUUUUACCUUUAGGAACAAGGUGACUGGGAAUGCACUGGAAUUGAUUUUCAUCUUUGUCAUGGGAAUGGACAUUUUUCUGAACGAGAGCAGGGAAACUUGUCAUUUCACUGUCAGGACCCCUCAUUUACUGCCACCACCACGUGCAGCCUGUGCAGAUCAUGCUCGGUAAUUAGCAUUGGGAUUUUCAUCUUUACACUCAGUACCAGAGGGUUUGAGUUGAGGAAUAUUAACACAGACACUUUCUGUGCCGUUUUUUAAAUCUUUCCAAAUGUCCCCUGAUCUUUGCUAAUGACCAUUUCCACAAUGAGCCUCCCCCCCACACUUUACCACGCUUCUGAUUGGCACAGAUGGGCUUUAAUUUUCCUUUUACAGCUUCUCUUUCGUUGGCUAAAUCCAGCAGAUCUGUCAGGCCUGUAACCUGCUGCACCUCCCUUUCCUGCCCUGGGACAGUGCAGGUCUGCACAGACCAGCCCUGGUUUCAUUUCCUUUCCCAAAGCUGAGCCACAGCAGCUUCUCUCUCCCAUCUUUUCAAACCAUCUCCUCGUGGUUCACUUGUCAGCAUGCCAUUGAUGACACCCUUUAAUUUGCUGGGCAUUACCAUGUAGUGCAACGUUAUCCUUUGGUGAUUCUACCUGAAAUGUCAUUAAAUGGAGCUGAAACUGGG